rnacentral:rRNA from 1 species
AUUGAACGCUGGCGGCGUGCCUAAUACAUGCAAGUCGAACGCAUUGAGAGAAGUGCUUGCACUUUUCAAUUUGAGUGGCGAACGGGUGAGUAACACGUGGGCAACCUACCUGAUAGCGGGGGAUAACGAGUGGAAACAUUCGCUAAUACCGCAUAACAAUAGAGAAGGCAUCUUCUUUAUUUAAAAGGCGCUUUCAAGCGUCACUAUCAGAUGGGCCCGCGGUGCAUUAGUUAGUUGGUGGGGUGAAGGCCUACCAAGACGAUGAUGCAUAGCCGAGUUUGGAGACUGAUCGGCCACAUUGGGACUGAGACACGGCCCAAACUCCUACGGGAGGCUGCAGUAGGGAAGCUUCCACAAGGGACGAAAGUCUGAUGGAGCAACGCCGCGUGUGUGAUGAAGGCUUUCGGGUCGUAAAGCACUGUUGUAUGGGAAGAAAUGCUAGGCUAGGAAAUGAGCUUAGUUUGACGGUACCAUACCAGAAAGGGACGGCUAAAUACGUGCCAGCCGCCGCGGUAA